AAAAAGUCUUAUUUUCUUUCCUCUUUAAGUUCCCCUUCCUGCUUCUGAUUCUGCCAUCCCCAGGUUCCUACAUGAUUUCUGGGGCAGGCGCCCACACCCUGGGCCUCUGAAGCAAGCAUGCUGAGCGUGGAGAGGCCCUGGCCUUACCUCUGAGGGAAGGAGGAUGCCCGGCCUGGAGAGUGAGUGGAGACUCAAGUGCCAUCUCUCAGACUGGAGUGCAAUCCCAUGUAGGCCACUUCCCAAAGCGUGCCCUGUGGACAGGCGGCUGCAUCUCCCUGAGAUGAGGAAACCCAGGCUCAGAGAGAGGACAUGACUUGUUCCCAGUCAAGUGGCUGGCAAACGGCAAAGCUGGGGUCUGAAGCUGGGUCCGAGUGACUUCUCAGGCGGCUCCUACCAGGUCCGGUGCCAGCCCCUGCAGAGCAUAAACGGGAUGCCAGCAGAGGGAAACAGGAGCUUCAUCAGGAACCUCAAAUCGGGGGCGGAUGUUUGCAGAUAGGUGUGGCCUUCCCCACUCGGGAUCGUCCCUAGUUCUUCCCAUCGCCUUUCAUUACCAGGAUCCCGCCCUGGGAAGGGAGUCUCCCCGUUCACCCUCUAA